UACGGGGGGGGCAAGCGUUGUUCGGAAUUACUGGGCGUAAAGGGCUCGUAGGUGGCCAACUAAGUCAGACGUGAAAUCCCUCGGCUUAACCGAGGAACUGCGUCUGAUACUGGAUGGCUUGAGUCCGGGAGAGGGAUGUGGAAUUCCAGGUGUAGCGGUGAAAUGCGUAGAUAUCUGGAGGAACACCGGUGGCGAAGGCGGCAUCCUGGACCGGCAUUGACGCUGAGGAGCGAAAGCCAGGGGAGCAAACGGG
rnacentral:rRNA from 1 species